AUUAGCUGAUCUCAUAAGUAGUGAUGAUGUUGUAUGGAAGGACAAUCGUGUUGUGUACAAGUACCGCAGAAUUAUUCGUGACAUUAUUGAGUUAUUUGAAGAAUUCAUGCUCUCCGAUCAAUAUUGCCAUUGGGAUAUUCGAGACAUAAAUAUCGUUAAUGAUCGAGUUCGGAAGGAUAGUGUUUUAAAUCCUGAUAGUGGACCUAUCGUGAGAAGAACGUGCAAGACGCAAUUCAUAUCCAUGGUUGGAGACAUACUUGGGAAUGGUGACAAUGAAAGGGAGCUAAACCACUUUUAUCACAAGGCUAAGCUAACCAUGGUGUGGCGUUUAUGGAAGUAUGGCAUCACCCACUACUCAUGGGACGUGAUGAGAGAUUCUUUUUCCCCGUGCAUGCCUUCAUGAAACUUCAACAUGCCUUUCGUUUUCUUCCUCGUCUCGAAACUAUAUUGAACUAUUUUGAAGCCAAGAUUGGUAUAAAUGACCAGGAAUGAUUGUUUGUUCAAAAUCCAUUGCAGAGGCUUGUGUUCUUCUUGUUUUCCUUUUUAUAGGCCCCCGUCUCUCUUGAACCUGCUUCAUCCACACUUUGUAAAUUGAUUAGUCUCUAGUUUUUUUCUCCUCUUUCAGAAAAUGAUUUAUUUGGCAAACAUAAGAUUAAUUGUACAACUUCAUCAACUAAAGAAUUGCAAUUGCACUCUCUUCUCCAGAUUAGGACACCUGAACUUGGCAAAAG